CGCUGGUGACGCACAAGUUCCUCUGCAAAGCAAUCCAGGGGCGAAGGCAUGGACAGAUUCCUAGGGAAAUUCUCUUUUUUGGUGUUUGCUGCUGCAGUCGUGAUUCUGGUACUUGCCGCCAACAAGGCUGAAGCCCUUCCUAGCGUAAUAUUUGAAACCAUUCCCAAGAUAUUUGGACGAAUUGAGAAACAUGCAGAAAAGUGACACGCGAGCUACGCGGACACUACAUCCACAAAUUGCAUUGGACCCUAGUGUUCCUAAAUCUAAUUGCAAUGCGCCAAUAGAGGUGAUACUCUUGCAUGAACAAAUAA